rnacentral:rRNA from 1 species
GUGCCAGCAGCCGCGGUAAUACGGAGGGGGCGAGCGUUGUUCGGAUUCAUUGGGCGUAAAGGGGGCCUAGGCGGCCUGGCAAGUCGGAUGUGAAAUCCCACGGCUCACCCGUGGAAUUGCGUCCGAAACUACCUCGCUUGAGUACGGGAGAGGAGAGUGGAAUUCUCAGUGUAGCGGUGGAAUGCGUAGAUAUUGAGAAGAACACCGGUGGCGAAGGCGACUCUCUGGCCCGAUACUGACGCUGAAGCCCGAAAGCCAGGGGAGCGAACGGGAUUAGAUACCCCGGUAGUCCUGGCCCUAAACGAUGUGCACUGGGUGUUGGAGGUAUCGACCCCUUCAGUGCCGAAGCUAACGCAUUAAGUGCACCGCCUGGGGAGUACGGUCGCAAGGCUGAAACUUAAAUGAAUUGACGGGG